rfam:Shimwellia blattae DSM 4481 = NBRC 105725, complete genome.
GCUAUGCGCUGACCGUGCAGGGUUCGAACCUGCAGCAGGUCGAGUCGAGCCCUGGCGAGACAACGGAGCCGUAAGGCGACGGCCCGUAGGGCGAGGCGCAAGCCGGGUCAUCCUGCACGACCCACCA